UACGUAGGUCCCGAGCGUUGUCCGGAUUUAUUGGGCGUAAAGCGAGCGCAGGUGGUUUAAUAAGUCUGAUGUAAAAGGCAGUGGCUCAACCAUUGUGUGCAUUGGAAACUGUUAGACUUGAGUGCAGUAGAGGAGAGUGGAAUUCCAUGUGUAGCGGUGAAAUGCGUAGAUAUAGGAAGGAACACCGGUGGCGAAAGCGGCUCUCUGGACUGUAACUGACACUGAGGCUCGAAAGCGUGGGUAGCAAACAGG
rnacentral:rRNA from 1 species